rnacentral:rRNA from 1 species
AGGAUAAACGCUGGCGGCGUGCCUAACACAUGCAAGUCGAACGUCUCUUCUUUCGGGAAGAGGAGUGGCGGACGGGUGAGGAACACGUGGGAACCUGCCCUUCAGUGAGGAAUACCGGCGAGAAAUCGCCGACAAGACCGCAUAGCCCUCUCUGGUGAGAGCCAGAGAAGGAAAGCCUCGCAAGAGGCGCUGGAGGAGGGGCCUGCGUCCGAUUAGCUAGUUGGUGGGGUAAGAGCCUACCAAGGCGUCGAUCGGUAGCUGGUCUGAGAGGACGAUCAGCCACACUGGGAUUGAGAACGGCCCAGACUCCUACGGGGGGCAGCAGUGAGGAAUUUUCGGCAAUGGGGGAAACCCUGACCGAGCAACGCCGCGUGCAGGAAGACGGCCUUCGGGUUGUAAACUGCUUUUCUUUGGGACGAGCAAGGACGGUACCAGAGGAAUCAGCCCGGCUCACUACGUGCCAGCAGCCGC